UCUAUUAUUUUAUUAACAAAACCUAAAUAUUCUAGACAAGAAUGGAAAGUGAACAAUUCUUAUUUGAUAAUACUGAAGAAGAGGUUGAGGAUGAAACUAAUAAUACUCUGGCGUUUAAUCCCAGAAUUAACGAUAUCAACAUCAACGAUCAAGAGUCUGUGCCAGAGUUUAGUUGUGCUCUGCCUAGAUUGGUGUGUAGAUUCUUAGAGGGAACAGAGCCGACAAUCAUAAUUAUAAUUGGGUCUAUACUUGGAGUUUGUAUAGCAUUUUUCAUGGGAUUCACGCUGUACAGAAGGUUUAGUUCCACUUCAGGAAAAAAAACUAAUUUUUUAUUU